ACGAAGGGGGCUAGCGUUGUUCGGAAUUACUGGGCGUAAAGGGCGCGUAGGCGGUCUGAUAAGUUAGGUGUGAAAUUCCCGGGCUUAACCUGGGGGCUGCACUUAAUACUGUUGGGCUUGAAUCCGGGAGAGGAUAGCGGAAUUCCCAGUGUAGAGGUGAAAUUCGUAGAUAUUGGGAAGAACACCAGUGGCGAAGGCGGCUAUCUGGACCGGUAUUGACGCUGAGGCGCGAAAGCGUGGGGAGCAAACAG
rnacentral:rRNA from 1 species